AACGAACGCUGGCGGCAGGCUUAACACAUGCAAGUCGAACGCCCCGCAAGGGGAGUGGCAGCCGGGUGAGUAACGCGUGGGAACAUACCCUUUUCUACGGAAUAGCUCUGGGAAACUGGAAUUAAUACCGUAUACGCCCUACGGGGGAAAGAUUUAUCGGGGAAGGAUUGGCCCGCGUUGGAUUAGCUAGUUGGUGGGGUAAAGGCCUACCAAGGCGACGAUCCAUAGCUGGUCUGAGAGGAUGAUCAGCCACAUUGGGACUGCGACACGGCCCAAACUCCUACGGGAGGCAGCAGUGGGGAAUAUGGGACAAUGGGCGCAAGCCUGAUCCAGCCAUGCCGCGUGAGUGAUGAAGGCCUUAGGGUUGUAAAGCUCUUUCACCGAUGAAGAUAAUGACGGUAGUCGGAGAAGAAGCCCCGGCUAACUUCGUGCCAGCAGCCGCCGUAACAC
rnacentral:rRNA from 1 species